GACGAACGCUGGCGGCGUGCCUAAUACAUGCCAGUCGAACGCAUUUUCUUUCACCGUAGCUUGCUACACCGAAAGAAAAUGAGUGGCGAACGGGUGAGUAACACGUGUGCAACCUGCCCAUCAGCGGGGGAUAACACUUGGAAACAGGUGCUAAUACCGCAUAAUUCCAUUUACCGCAUGGUAGAGGGAUGAAAGGCGCUUUUGCGUCACUGAUGGAUGGACCCGCGGUGCAUUAGCUAGUUGGUGGGGUAACGGCCUACCAAGGCUGCGAUGCAUAGCCGACCUGAGAGGGUGAUCGGCCACACUGGGACUGAGACACGGCCCAGACUCCUACGGGAGGCAGCAGGAGGGAAUCUUCGGCAAUGGACGCAAGUCUGACCGAGCAACGCCGCGGGAGUGAAGAAGGUUUUCGGAUCGUAAAACUCUGUUGUUAGAGAAGAACAAGGAUGAGAGUGGAAAGUUCAUCCCUUGACGGUAUCUAACCAGAAAGCCACGGCUAACUACGUG
rnacentral:rRNA from 1 species